rnacentral:tRNA from 1 species
GAGGGUAUCGCUCAGUGGUAGAGUGCAUGCAUAGCAUGCUCGAGGUCCUGGGUUCAAUUCCCAGUACUGCCA